GCGCGCCAAGCCCAGGUAUAGAGAGGAGUUGAAGACAAGCCCACCUUGGAAGAGUCGGGCAGUGAACAGCCGGGCGCCCACCACUUAUAUGCCUCGGUGGAAAGAGGUUUCCUGUCCAGAGCUGCAGGCAGGCGCUGAGGCUGGAGCCCAAGCCAAAAGCGCUGCUCCAGGCUUUUCCACGAUGCUGAGUCCAAACCGCCUCAGCCGUCUUCACUCAGGGCAGCGCUCCCUCCAGUGAGGAGCCGUCCACACCGGCAGCCAUGCCCGGACUCGCUUAGGAAGAGCAGAGCGGCAGAGAGAAGGGGCUGGCUGCCCGGCUGGCUGAACCUAGCCCACCCAGGUUUCACCUACGCUGCUGAGCAAAGGGUCGAAGAACAGCUAAUUAAAAGCACCACUUCUCACGCUGGAGAAAAUAC
rnacentral:lncRNA from 1 species